rnacentral:pre_miRNA from 1 species
UUUGUUUUAGCCUGAGCUAUGUGUUAUUGCACAUACAUAGCUACUUGUUAAAACAUACC